rnacentral:rRNA from 1 species
AUUGAACGCUGGCGGAAUGCUUUACACAUGCAAGUCGAACGGCAGCACGGGGGCAGCCCUGGUGGCGAGUGGCGAACGGGUGAGUAAUACAUCGGAACGUGCCCGGUCGUGGGGGAUAACGUAGCGAAAGUUACGCUAAUACCGCAUACGAUCUGAGGAUGAAAGCGGGGGACCUUCGGGCCUCGCGCGAUCGGAGCGGCCGAUGUCAGAUUAGGUAGUUGGUGGGGUAAAGGCCUACCAAGCCGACGAUCUGUAGCUGGUCUGAGAGGACGACCAGCCACACUGGGACUGAGACACGGCCCAGCCUCCUACGGGAGGCAGCAGUGGGGAAUUUUGGACAAUGGGCGCAAGCCUGAUCCAGCCAUUCCGCGUGCAGGACGAAGGCCUUCGGGUUGUAAACUGCUCUUGUACGGAACGAAAAGGCUCUGGCUAAUACCUGGGGCUCAUGACGGUACCGUAAGAAUAAGCACCGGCUAACUACGUG